GCGCUGUCGUGUUGCUGCGCUGCCAAAUAUAGUUCCGACUGCAGUAUGGCGUUGUGAGGAGAGUGUGAUGUGAAAGAAAGCGAUGACUACCACAUCCGUCAUCUCAAACGCUCGGCACAACUAUCCUCCUCGUCCUCACGUCUUUCGCUUUUGAAAUGCGGGCUGUCGCCGGCUGAUGGAACGCCAAUUCUGUUCGCAGAAGAUGCAAAGCAACAAAGACAUCCGCGGCAUCAUCGGAGGCGCAUGCAGUUCGUGCGACAGCCUCGAGUUUCACCGGGAUGACAGUGGCGGUCCGCUUAUGCCAGGGUGAUGCCUGUAUUCAUGUCCCUCUCGAACAACCCACGCUGCAGUAGGAUGGACAAGUUGACGGUUCACGGAGAAGUGAGGAGAGGGCGAUGGCCGCCUCGCGAUCGAAUGAAGUUGCUGCAUCAGCAAACAAUGACCUUCCACUGCCAGCUCAGCUUUGUAGUA